CCUGAGGACCGGGAGGCAGGUGGACGUCCCCCGCAGGGCCCGGACACCCUCGUCGUGCUGGAAUUUAACCCCGCUUCUCAAAGUCACUUCCAGGAGAACCUGCAGCUCUGCGCCAGCCUGCCCCUACCAUCGCACCCAUUGUAACAGGGGUGAGAAAAGGCCGACAUAGCCAGCUAGACUUCGCUCCACGGCCCCAGCCUCUCACCAGCCUCCCUGCCUCCAUCAGUGGCAGGAACAUCUGCAGAGCUGAGAUGUGCCACCUUCCAUCCGGGAGCCUCCAGUCGCCUGCCUUCCCACUGGGAUGCUCCUGCCUUAACACACAGACUCCUACAGGUGCCUGUUCUCUGUGACACCGCAGUUUCGUUUCUUGGAAUUCAUCUGCCACGUGCGCAUAAUGACACAAGGUCAAGAUCAUUCGUCACAGCCUGAUUUUAAUAGCAAAGGGUUGGAAAUAACCUAAAUUUCCAUUAAUUAAAUCAGAAAUGUACAUUCAAUUUUUGGAAGAUUCACCUUCAUUAAAAUGAACAAGACAGCUCUCUCUCUCAGAAUAUUAACCCAGAAUAUGAAUAGUUAUACCGAAUGCUAACUCUACACAAAAGACGGGGCCCCCUACUGAAACCCAAGGCCCUCGGCUGUGGUGGACUGAAUGCCCCCAGGGCCCCUCCUGUCCAGGGUGGGCUCCUGACAUUCCCCCACCAGACACUGUAUCCGCUGUCCACUGCCACUGUAACAACUUGUCACCAACGUGAUGGCUUUGCCAAUACAAAGUUUGCAUCUUCAAACUCUACCGCCUCACUGGCCAGCACCAAGGAUUCAGCACCACCCUGUUCCCACAUGGCCGCUCCAGGGCACGUGCCACCUCCUUGCCCUUUCUGGCCGCCCCAGGCCACCCCCAUUCUUUGCCUUCCUGCCUCCCCUCUGGAAGCCACCCCUGCCCAUCUCUCUUCUUCACAGAUGCGCCUCUUGCUCUGACGACAGCUGGGAAAGUUCUCCAUGAGACAAGGACGGAGCCCAUUUGGAUCAGCUGGGACGGCCUCUCCAUCUCAACCCCUCCAUGUGGUCACCUCUGAAAAGCAUCCCUCUCAACCCCGGGCAAGCAACACGGUGCCAACUCCUGGUGUUUAUGAUAUGGACACGGUGGACAAGAGGGACGUCACUCCACCCAUUACAGCUGCCCAUGGCUCCAACUACUGAAGCACCUCUCGCCUCCCAUCAGACGGAUCCAUCCCUGUGCCCAAUUCCUACCCAAACCUUCGAGGCUGACCUCUACAGCCCCCUCCUCCAUGAAGUCCUCCCUGAUUCUCCCAGGCAGAUUCCGUGAUGCUGAAGACCCCGCUUCAUGACCCUUGUCACUCGGCAUUUGAAUUAUGUGUCUCCGUACCCGUGGGGUCUUCAAAAAGUUCAUGGAAAAUGUGUGUUAUGGAAAAACUAUGCACAGGCUUCAAAACCUUUUUUGCACCAAAAUAAACAUUUUUAAUUCCAGUUUUUGUCCCAUGAACUUUUUAAAAUUCCCUCAUAUAUCUCUCAGUAGUUUGCAAACAAUUUAAGAGUUAAGAACUGACUUUCUAAACCCUUCUUUCCUAUCUUCAGUUGUAUAUCUUAUAAGAUGUGUUUACUUAUUUGGAAGGUAGAGUGACACAGACAGAGAAACAGACAGAGAGAUCUUUCAUCUGCUCGGUCACUCCCCAAAUGGCU